AUUGAACGCUGGCGGCAGGCCUAACACAUGCAAGUCGAACGAGUGGCGGACGGGUGAGUAAGUUCUGGGAAACUGCCUGAUGUAGGGGGAUAACUACUGGAAACGGUAGCUAAUACUGCAUAACAUCAGAUGUGCCCCGAUGGGAUUAGCUUGUUGGUGGGGUAACGGCUCACCAAGGCGACGAUCCCUAGCUGGUCUGAGAUGAUGACCAGCCACACUGGAACUGAGACACGGUCCAGACUCCUACGGGAGGCAGCAGUGGGGAAUCUUGCACAAUGGGCGAAAGCCUGAUGCAGCCAUGCCGCGUGUAUGAAGAAGGCUUUCGGGUUGUAAAGUACUUUCAGCGGGGAGGCGUUACCCGAAGAGGAAGCAACGGCUAACUCCGUGCCAGCAGCCGCGGUAAUAC
rnacentral:rRNA from 1 species